CCUACGGGAGGCAGCAGUGGGGAAUUUUGGACAAUGGGCGAAAGCCUGAUCCAGCAAUGCCGCGUGCAGGAUGAAGGCCUUCGGGUUGUAAACUGCUUUUGUACGGAACGAAACGGUUCGCCUUAAUACGGUGGGCUAAUGACGGUACCGUAAGAAUAAGCCCCGGCU
rnacentral:rRNA from 1 species